AGCGCUUAGAAGUGAGAAUGCCGGUGUGAGUAGCGAAAGACGGGUGAGAAUCCCGUCCACCGAUUGACUAAGGUUUCCAGAGGAAGGCUCGUCCGCUCUGGGUUAGUCGGGUCCUAAGCUGAGGCCGACAGGCGUAGGCGAUGGAUAACAGGUUGAUAUUCCUGUACCACCUAUAAUCGUUUUAAUCGAUGGGGGGACGCAGUAGGAUAGGCGAAGCGUGCGAUUGGAUUGCACGUCUAAGCAGUAAGGCUGAGUAUUAGGCAAAUCCGGUACUCAUUAAGGCUGAGCUGUGAUGGGGAGAAGACAUUGUGUCUUCGAGUCGUUGAUUUCACACUGCCGAGAAAAGCCUCUAGAUAGAAAAUAGGUGCCCGUACCGCAAACCGACACAGGUAGUCAAGAUGAGAAUUCUAAGGUGAGCGAGCGAACUCUCGUUAAGGAACUCGGCAAAAUGACCCCGUAACUUCGGGAGAAGGGGUGCUCUUUAGGGUUAACGCCCAGAAGAGCCGCAGUGAAUAGGCCCAAGCGACUGUUUAUCAAAAACACAGGUCUCUGCUAAACCGUAAGGUGAUGUAUAGGGGCUGACGCCUGCCCGGUGCUGGAAGGUUAAGAGGAGUGGUUAGCUUCUGCGAAGCUACGAAUCGAAGCCCCAGUAAACGGCGGCCGUAACUAUAACGGUCCUAAGGUAGCGAAAUUCCUUGUCGGGUAAGUUCCGACCCGCACGAAAGGCGUAACGAUUUGGGCACUGUCUCAACGAGAGACUCGGUGAAAUCAUAGUACCUGUGAAGAUGCAGGUUACCCGCGACAGGACGGAAAGACCCCGUGGAGCUUUACUGUAGCCUGAUAUUGAAAUUCGGCACAGCUUGUACAGGAUAGGUAGGAGCCUUUGAAACGUGAGCGCUAGCUUACGUGGAGGCGCUGGUGGGAUACUACCCUAGCUGUGUUGGCUUUCUAACCCGCACCACUUAUCGUGGUGGGAGACAGUGUCAGGCGGGCAGUUUGACUGGGGCGGUCGCCUCCUAAAAGGUAACGGAGGCGCUCAAAGGUUCCCUCAGAAUGGUUGGAAAUCAUUCAUAGAGUGUAAAGGCAUAAGGGAGCUUGACUGCGAGACCUACAAGUCGAGCAGGGUCGAAAGACGGACUUAGUGAUCCGGUGGUUCCGCAUGGAAGGGCCAUCGCUCAACGGAUAAAAGCUACCCCGGGGAUAACAGGCUUAUCUCCCCCAAGAGUUCACAUCGACGGGGAGGUUUGGCACCUCGAUGUCGGCUCAUCGCAUCCUGGGGCUGUAGUCGGUCCCAAGGGUUGGGCUGUUCGCCCAUUAAAGCGGUACGCGAGCUGGGUUCAGAACGUCGUGAGACAGUUCGGUCCCUAUCCGUCGUGGGCGUAGGAAAUUUGAGAGGAGCUGUCCUUAGUACGAGAGGACCGGGAUGGACAUACCUCUGGUGUACCAGUUGUCGUGCCAACGGCAUAGCUGGGUAGCUAUGUGUGGACGGGAUAAGUGCUGAAAGCAUCUAAGCAUGAA
rnacentral:rRNA from 1 species